UAUUAGAGAACUAGGAAGUAAAGAGUCCUUCAAAAUUUCAAUCAACAAAUCAUUACUAGUACAAUUGUCCAUAGUAACUGUACUAAUCUUUGUCUUAAUUUUUCAAGUGAUUAAACAAUCUUUCAAGACAUUUGAAAGUAUCUCGGCAGUGUGUGGGCAAGGCAUAUAAACAAACCUAUAAUUUGUACAAAUAAUGAAAGAAAAAUAUAUUAGUAGAUUAUACUAGUUUAUAAGAUAAAAUAGAUAGAAAUAGAAUAUGCACAUGAAAAAGAGUAAAUUGAGUGUGCAAAAGAAAAUAGAAUAUAUCCAAAAAAUAAAUAUUGUAAAAAAGCAAGUAGAUUAUGCAAGAAAGAAAGUACUUAAUUACCUUAAUAUCUGAUUUUGAAUGAGCCAAGAAUCAUCUAUCCAAUGAGCUGUGACUGCCAUAAAUAAUUUCUUUUGAUUGCUAGAGGUCCACAUAUCAGUGGUUAUAGCAAUUCUACUUCUGUUCCUUUCUAACAACUUCAUAGUUUUUUGCUUCUCAAUAUCAUAAAUCUUUAAAAUGUCACUCUUUAAUGUUGUUCUUGAAAUCAUCUUAAAAGCAGGUUGAAGACUUUGAUAUAAUUCUCAAAAGUCAUGAUAUUCAACAAAACAAAGAGGCAACUCUUGUAAAAUGAUCAUAUUGGCAACCUUCCUUCUACAAACUUCUUGGUCAAAUAUAUAAUUAGUUAUCUUGAGUUUUCCAUCCCUCACAUCAAUUUUCAAUCUUUUUUUAUUUCGCAUUGCAUAUUGGAUGUCUUUAUGUUUCCUCUUCAAGCAUCUGCUAUAAUGGUCAUGUAAAUGUCUUGUUUCUUUUUUCCCAUCACCUACAAGAUGGGCUUUAUAAUAAUUGCAAACUGCUUUAACCUCUCCAUUAAUUUUUUUUUUCUUAAAAUGUUCCCAUAUUUUUUAUGUUAAUUUUCUUGCUCCAAUUACAUCUUCACCUGAUCCAUCAAAUUGACUUUCAGAUUCAGCUGGAGUUGGAUUAGAAUCUAUUUGAAUUGACACCGAUGUAGAAGCCGAUAUUCCUCCUUUAGAACGAUUUGUUGCUGCUUCACCAGUUAUAGAAUGUGUAGGAGGAACACUUGAUUGUGCUUGUUGAGACAUUCUUUUGAACAACAAAACAAAAAAAUAAAAUUAAAACCCUUCACAAACCCAUAUGUAUUUUUAUAUUAGUGGAAUGAUUACAAACAAAUAAAAAAGAGUAAUAGUGCUACAAAUAAAAAUAUAUAAUAUCCAAAAUUAAAGGAUAAUAAUGAGUAACAAAAGAUGAUACUUCUACUGAUUUAUAAAAUUUUGAAUAGCAGUUCCUUCAAAAUUCUGCAUCUCUUACUUAGAAAAGACAUCUGAAUAUUUUUUUUUUUUCUUGAAUUUUCUGCAAUAUCCCAGAUUAUUGCAUCAUGAUGAAAAAAAAAAUGUUAAGAUACAUGAUAAUUAUUCUUUCAGUAGAAAACUAGAAGAUCAUAGCUUGAAAAGUAGCCAAGGGAUUAGAGACAAUUAGAUGAUAAUUAUUCUUUCAGUAGAAGUUCAUAGCUUGAAAAACAGCUUGAAAUGCCAUUAGAGACAAUUGGAUGAUGCUAAAAAAUGGUGAAAAAAAAAUAGGGAAAAGAAAAAAAUACGCGUGUUGAAGCCGUUGAGGGUAUGGUACUUGUAGACGGAGGCAAAGAAGGAGAUGGAGGCGAGAAAAAGCGCGGCGGUCGGCGGCGGUGAGGGACAGGGCGGCGGCCGGCGGAGGUGAGGAAAAAGGCGGCGGCCAACGAAGGCGAGGAAAAGGGCGGCGACCGGCGGAGGUAAGGAAAUGGGCGGCGGCCAGCGGAGGCGAGGAAAAGGG
rnacentral:lncRNA from 1 species